rnacentral:tRNA from 1 species
AUUUAAGUAGUUUAUAUAAAAUAUUGAUUUGUGAUAUCAAAGAAGCUAAUUGUUUUAAAUU